CCUUAUUGGGCCAACCCUUCUCUGUAGCAAAAGAGUGGGAAGAUUUUAAAGUAGAGGUGAUAUACCUACCGAGCCUAGAGAUAGCUGGUUAUUCAAGAAAAGGAUCUCAGUCCACCUUUAAGUUUUCAUGAUAUAAUAAACUCCCAACAAUCAAUAAUAUAUAUAAAUACUAAAUAAACUUAAAAGUCACUCAAAUAAGGUACAGCCUAUUUGAAUUAGGAAACAGCCUCCAAUGUUGGGUAAUGACCCCCCCACAUGACUAAGUCGGCUUAAAGGCAGCCACCUUUCAAAAAGCGUCCAAGCUUUACCAUAAACUAUUAUUAAUCCCAUAACCAACUCAUAACCCUCAACUGCUACUGAAUAAUCCCAUAAAUAUAUGAGAGCCAUCAUGCUAGAACUAGUAACAAGAAAAGAACUUCUCCAAAAUGUGAACACAAGCCAUAAUGAACCAUCACCGGCACCCACCGCAUAAACUUAUAGUACUAACAACUCAAGAAAACUGUACUUUAAACAGCGUUAACCUUACACUAGAACAUUUCUGAGAAAGAUUAAAAGAGACGGAAGGAACUCGGCAAAC
rnacentral:rRNA from 1 species